rnacentral:rRNA from 1 species
UGGGGAAUCUUAGACAAUGGGGGAAACCCUGAUCUAGCCAUGCCGCGUGAGUGACGAAGGCCCUAGGGUCGUAAAGCUCUUUCGCCAGGGAAGAUAAUGACGGUACCUGGUAAAGAAACCCCGGCUAACUCCGUGCCAGCAGCCGCGGUAAUACGGAGGGGGUUAGCGUUGUUCGGAAUUACUGGGCGUAAAGCGCACGCAGGUGGUAACGCAAGUGGGGUGUGAAAGCCGCCAGCUCAACUGGCGGAGGCCAUCCCAAACUGCGUCACUUGAGGCCUGUAGAGGUAUGUGGAAUUGCCGGUGUAGUGGUGAAAUGCGUAGAGAUCGGCAGGAACACCCAGGGGGAAGCCAGCAUACUGGACAGGUCCUGACACUCAGGUGCGACAGCGUGGGGAGCGAACCGGAUUAGAUACCCGUGUAGUCC